CCUACGGGAGGCAGCAGUGGGGAAUAUUGCACAAUGGGGGAAACCCUGAUGCAGCGACGCCGCGUGAGUGAAGAAGUAUCUCGGUACGUAAAGCUCUAUCAGCAGGGAAGAAAAUGACGGUACCUGACUAAGAAGCGCCGGCUAACUACGUGCCAGCAGCCGCGGUAAUACGUAGUGGGCAAGCGUUAUCCGGAUGUACUGGGUGUAAAGGGAGCGUAGACGGGAGGACAAGUCUGGAGUGAAAUCCCGGGGCUUAACCCCGGAACUGCUUUGGAAACUGUGCGGCUGGAGUGCAGGAGGGGUAAGCGGAAGUCCUAGUGUAGCGGUGAAAUGCGUAGAUAUUAGGAGGAACACCGGUGGCGAAGGCGGCUUACUGGACUGUAACUGACGUUGAGGCUCGAAAGCGUGGGGAGCAAACAGGAUUAGAUACCCCAGUAGUC
rnacentral:rRNA from 1 species